rnacentral:rRNA from 1 species
UACGGAGGGUGCAAGCGUUGUCCGGAAUUACUGGGCGUAAAGGGCGCGUAGGCGGGUGUUUAAGUCAGAGGUUAAAUCCCAGGGCUCAACCCUGGAACUGCCUUUGAUACUGGGCACCUAGAGUUCGGGAGAGGUGUGUGGAACUCCGAGUGUAGAGGUGAAAUUCGUAGAUAUUCGGAAGAACACCAGUGGCGAAGGCGACACACUGGCCCGAUACUGACGCUGAGGCGCGAAAGCGUGGGGAGCAAACAGG